rnacentral:rRNA from 1 species
UGCAAGUCGAGCGAGAAAGUACCUUCGGGUACGAGUACAGCGGCGGACGGGUGAGUAACGCGUAGGAAUCUACCUGGUAGUGGGGGACAACGUAUGGAAACGUACGCUAAUACCGCAUACGCCCUACGGGGGAAAGCGGGGGACCUUCGGGCCUCGCGCUAUCAGAUGAGCCUGCGUUAGAUUAGCUAGUUGGUGAGGUAAAGGCUCACCAAGGCGACGAUCUAUAGCUGGUCUGAGAGGAUGAUCAGCCACACUGGAACUGAGACACGGUCCAGACUCCUACGGGAGGCAGCAGUGGGGAAUAUUGCGCAAUGGGGGCAACCCUGACGCAGCCAUGCCGCGUGUGUGAAGAAGGCCUUAGGGUUGUAAAGCACUUUCAAUUGGGAAGAAAGGUCGAUCGUUAAUAGCGGUCGGCUGUGACAUUACCUUUAGAAGAAGCACCGGCUAACUCCGUGCCAGCAGCCGCGGUAAUACGGAGGGUGCGAGCGUUAAUCGGAAUUACUGGGCGUAAAGCGCGCGUAGGCGGUUUGUUAAGUCGGAUGUGAAAGCCCCGGGCUCAACCUGGGAAUUGCAUACGAUACUGGCCGACUAGAGUACGAGAGAGGGAGGUAGAAUUCCAUGUGUAGCGGUGAAAUGCGUAGAUAUGUG